UACAGAGGUCUCGAGCGUUGUUCGGAUUCAUUGGGCGUAAAGGGUGCGUAGGUGGCGCUGUAAGUCAGGUGUGAAAUUUCGGAGCUUAACUCCGAAACUGCAUUUGAUACUGGCGGUGCUUGAGGACUGGAGAGGAGACUUGGAAUUUACGGUGUAGCAGUGAAAUGCGUAGAGAUCGUAAGGAAGACCAGUGGCGAAGGCGGG
rnacentral:rRNA from 1 species